rnacentral:rRNA from 1 species
CUUGCACAGGUGCUGCAUGGCUGUCGUCAGCUCGUGUCGUGAGAUGUUCGGUUAAGUCCGCUAACGAGCGCAACCCUCACUGUGUGUUAUAUGUGUCACACGGGACUGCCGGUUUAAGCGGAGGAAGGUGGGAUGACGUCAAGUCAGCAUGGCCUUUAUAUCCUGGGCUACACACACGCUACAAUGGUCGGUACAAUAGGUUGCCAAGCCGCGAGGCGGAGCCAAUCCACAAAGCCGGCCUCAGUUCAGAUUGUAGGCUGCAACUCGCCUGCAUGAAGAUGGAGUUGCUAGUAACCGCAGGUCAGCAAUACUGCGGUGAAUACGUUCCCGGGUCUU